UCCACUGAUUGUAGUUUAUCAUCAAUGGACGCUUUUUCGAGUAAGAUUAUGAAUAAAAACGUGAGUGGUGUGGAAGCAAGAAAAGUGGUAAACAAAAGUGAACCUGAAAUACGGAACACUAUUAUUUAUCCUAAUACGAAUUCAUGUAAUGAAGUUGAUCUAAAUAAUUCUUCAGACAAUGGUAAAAAUCCUUCUGAGAAGGAGGUAACAGGUGAUACUUUAAAACGUCGGCCGAAAGUUCGUCAGAUUUGUCAUCGAGUGAUCAUGAUUUC